rnacentral:tRNA from 2 species
UGCCGACCGGGUUGCCGGAAUUCCGCCUGCCGUCAUUCGAGGUGGCGGAGCUUCCGCGCAUGAUCGGUUCGGCCCUGGUGCUGGCAA